rnacentral:rRNA from 1 species
GAAGUUAAAGGCUGUGGCUCAACCAUAGUUCGCUUUGGAAACUGUCAAACUUGAGUGCAGAAGGGGAGAGUGGAAUUCCAUGUGUAGCGGUGAAAUGCGUAGAUAUAUGGAGGANCACCGGUGGCGAAAGCGGCUCUCUGGUCUGUAACUGACGCUGAGGCUCGAAAGCGUGGGGAGCGAACAGGAUUAGAUACCCUGGUAGUCCACGCCGUAAACGAUGAGUGCUAGGUGUUGGAUCCUNUCCGGGAUUCAGUGCCGCAGCUAACGCAUUAAGCACUCCGCCUGGGGAGUACGACCGCAAGGUUGAAACUCAAAGGAAUUGACGGGGGCCCGCACAAGCGGUGGAGCAUGUGGUUUAAUUCGAAGCAACGCGAAGAACCUUACCAGGUCUUGACAUCCCGAUGCUAUUUCUAGAGAUAGGAAGUUACUUCGGUACAUCGGUGACAGGUGGUGCAUGGUUGUCGUCAGCUCGUGUCGUGAGAUGUUGGGUUNNNNNNNNNNNNCGAGCGCAACCCCUAUUGUUAGUUGCCAUCAUUCAGUUGGGCACUCUAGCGAGACUGCCGGUAAUAAACCGGAGGAAGGUGGGGAUGACGUCAAAUCAUCAUGCCCCUUAUGACCUGGGCUACACACGUGCUACAAUGGUUGGUACAACGAGUUGCGAGUCGGUGACGGCGAGCUAAUCUCUUAAAGCCAAUCUCAGUUCGGAUUGUAGGCUGCAACUCGCCUACAUGAAGUCGGAAUCGCUAGUAAUCGCGGAUCAGCACGCCGCGGUGAAUACGUUCCCGGGCCUU